GUAGGGAGCGAGCGUUACCCGGAAUUACUGGGCGUAAAGAGCACGUAGGCGGUUGGAUAAGUCUUCUGUGAAAGCUCCCGGCUUAACUGGGAGAGGUCAGGGGAUACUAUUCGACUUGAGGGCAGUAGAGGUAAGCGGAAUUCCCGGUGUAGCGGUAAAAUGCGUAGAUAUCGGGAGGAACACCAGCGGCGAAAGCGGCUUACUGGGCUGUGCCUGACGCUGAGGUGCGAGAGCGUGGGGAGCAAACUGGAUUAGAUACCCAGGUAGUCCACGCCCUAAACGAUGAAUACUAGAUACAGGGGGUUAUCGACCCCCCCUCUGUGUCGCAGCUAACGCGACAAGUAUUCCGCCUGGGGGAGUACGGCCGCAAGGCUA
rnacentral:rRNA from 1 species